rnacentral:lncRNA from 1 species
UUCCGAAACGGUUCUCUGAAGCUCAGUCAGAUUUUGAUGAUUCCGAAAUGAAUCAAAAAUUAUAUUAAUUGAUGGAUCUCUGCCAAGAACCAUGAGCUAAUAUUAGUUUUAACUCAAAUAGGUUAAAACAAUGGAAACAAAGCUUAGCGUUUCUGGUCGUUUUUACAUCUAAAAAAUGAUGAAUUCUAAGGUAUUUUGAUGAAAACCAAGAAGGGCUAUAAGAUGAUGAGGGGGAGAAUGUUAUGGGAUGUGGAUUUGGGUGGGUUUGGAGGAAUUACGUUAGCCGCAGCCGGUGGAGCAUUAUUGAGUGGCUAGGGUUAGGAUUAAGAGAGAGAGAGAUGGGGAAAUGGGGAGGGCUCUGUGAGUUUUGGAGGUAUGGGAAAGUUCUGACACUUAUAUGAGCAGUCGUGCUUCU